rnacentral:tRNA from 1 species
UGCAUGCCACCGUUGGGAGAGCGUUAGACUAUAGAUCGAAAGGUCCCUGGUUCGAUCCCGAGACAGGGCAA